rnacentral:rRNA from 1 species
AACGAACGCUGGCGGCAUGCCUAACACAUGCAAGUCGAACGAGACCUUCGGGUCUAGUGGCGCAUGGGUGCGUAACGCGUGGGAACCUGCCCUUAGGUUCGGAAUAACUCUCCGAAAGGGGUGCUAAUACCGGAUAAUGUCUUCGGCCCAAAGAUUUAUUGCCUUUGGAUGGGCCCGCGUUGGAUUAGGUAGUUGGUAGGGUAAAAGCCUACCAAGGCGACGAUCCAUAGCUGGUCUGAGAGGAUGGUCAGCCACACUGGGACUGAGACACGGCCCAAACUCCUACGGAAGGCAGCAGUGGGGAAUAUUGGACAAUGGGCGAAAGCCUGAGCCAGCAAUGCCGCAAGAGUGAUGAAGGCGUUAGGGUUGUAAGCUCUUUUACCCGGGAUGAUAAUGACGGUACCGAAAGAAUAAGCUCCGGCUAACUCCGUG